AACGAACGCUGGCGGCAUGCCUAACACAUGCAAGUCGAACGAAACCUCCGUGCCUGGUGGCGCCCGGGUUCGUAACGCGGGGGAACCUGCCCUUAGGUUCGGCAUAACUCCCCGAGAGGGGUGCUAAUACCGGAUAAUAUCUUCGGACCAAAGAUUUAUGGCCUUUGGAUGGGCCCGCGUUUGUUUAGUUAGUGGGUAGGGUAAACGCUUCCCACGGGGUUGAUGCGUAGCUGAUCUGAGAGGGUGACAAGCGACACGGGGACCGGGACACGGCCCAGACUGCUACAGGAGGGAGGAGUAUGGAAUAAUGGACGCUGGGCGAAAGCCGGAUCGAGCCGUGGCGGGUGAGUGAUGAAGGCUUGAGGAUUGUAAAGCUCUUUUACCCGGGAUGAUAAUGACAGUACCGGGAGAAUAAGCACCGGCUAACUACGUG
rnacentral:rRNA from 1 species